rnacentral:rRNA from 1 species
CCUACGGGAGGCAGCAGUAAGGAAUAUUGGGCAAUGGGGGAAACCCUGACCCAGCAACGCCGCGUGAGGGAAGAAGGUUUUCGGAUCGUAAACCUCUGUCCUUGGUGAAGAGGAAGAGACGGUAGCCAAGGAGGAAGCCCCGGCUAACUACGUGCCAGCAGCCGCGGUAAUA